rnacentral:piRNA from 1 species
UGAAGUUAAAGACUGAUGUGAAAAAUA